UCUCGAUUGGUCUAGUGGUCAGGAUACCUGCUUGUCAUUGUAACCAGUACAACGGCCAACCAGUACGGUUAGUGACUACGGUCUCAUUAAAGAAUUGGAUUCGCAGGUGGCCGGGGUUCGAUUCCCCGAUCGAGAG